rnacentral:lncRNA from 1 species
UUAGUAGAGACAUGUUGGUCAGGCUGGUCUCGAACUCCUGACCUCAGGUGAUUCACCUGCCUCGGCCUCCCAAAGUACUGGGAUUACAGGCAUGAGCCACUGCGCCUGGUCCUGUAUUUUAGAUAAGAAAGAUGCUUUAUCUGUCUCCCAUUGGAAUACACUUUUGUUGUUCGUUUUUUUUUAACUUAAUUAAACUUGAAAGCCAACUUUUGUCAAAACAGAAGAAAAUAAAGCAAUUUUUAAAAAAAUCCAGUGUUUAAAAUACUUGUCAUUUAUAAUAUAUGCAUAUAACAGAAAAGUAGAAAAUAAUUCUGCAUUUUAAAAGCUUAGCUUCUACAUGGCAAGUGUGGGACAUAAAGUUGAUACUUGACCAUUAACUGGAUAUAUUCUAGAUUUUCACAUUUAAUGAUAAUGGAUGUGUGCGUCUCAUGGUCAAACUAAAAUGAUUUAUUUUUUACAAAUUAUCUUUAUCAUUAGCAAACCAGUCUUACUUUUAUUAGUCAAUUAUAAGUCCACAGAGAUAUAGGAGCUCAAUUUGUUACAGGGAACUUGAGCAUUCCAUGGAUUAUCUGAGCUGAAUUUGAAGAAUGUACUGUGGAGAUCUUCUAUGUGAUAUAUAUAAAGGACGUAGGUCAACUACUGGUUAUUAUUUAGAAAAUACUUUAGGGAAAAAAAUUAUCUUCUGGGGCCAAUAAUUGAGUUCUAUUAAACUACAGAGGUAGAUAAUUUUGAAAUGAGAAAUCAAAAUAUAUUUUGAUUUUAUAUUACUCAUAUUUUCAUUUUAUUCAUAAAGUUUUUUGGAAAAAGACAACAGAAAUUGUACUUUGUUGAGAAGACUCCUAGAGCCAAAUAGUCACAGACUCAGAAUACACAGAGACAAGCAAAGAUGGUUCCAGCAAGCUCUAAGGACACAGACAUGUGAAAGAGGCGCUGAAGACACACGAGGACUGAUGCAUGGUAGAUGUCAUCCUGAUAUGGCUGGGCUUCUGGACUCACUGCCUCCUCCUUCUAGAACCCAGCACCUCCAAGGCUGGGAGAAGAGAAGUUUGGGGUCUAUGGGAAAUGACCUCUGGAAGUGGCUGUGACUGUUUCCAAAGACAAAUACAAUCUAGAUUCUCGAAACAAUGCAAAUGAACAAAAAAUGUGAGUUUAGCAGUUAGUGAAACAUUAAGAUGAGAUACAGGAGUAAACACAUUUUUUUCCAUAAAAGUAGUGGAUGUUAAAUAAUGAAAUACAGUGGUAAAACAAUUACAGCCUGGAGGCUUUAAGAUGUAAAUCAAAAAUGGAGACCAGUGGUGUUAAUAUCAUAUGAGAGGAUUAAAUAUGAGCUGCUGGUCCAACUGUGUUCUGCAGGAAUUCAGGCAGAUGGAUGAGAGACAGGCUAUGAGUAAAGCAUUACCACAGCUGGGGGUGCGGUGUAUGGAAGCUCAUCCUAGCUAGCACUUGGAGAAGAACUCACACAUUGCAAACAUAUCCGGUUAAAAACUGGCAUUUGCUGCAACUAAAAAAGGCAAGUGAUGGUCUAGGUGAACUGCCUUUUCUUUCUCUCCUUCCAAAGGACAAAAUUAAUUUUUUUUUUUUUUUGAGACGGAGUCUUGCUCUGUCACCCAGACUGGAGUGUAG